rnacentral:rRNA from 1 species
UACGUAGGGGGCAAGCGUUGUCCGGAAUCAUUGGGCGUAAAGCGUCUGUAGGUGGCUUUUCAAGUCCGCCGUCAAAUCCCAGGGCUCAACCCUGGACAGGCGGUGGAAACUACCAAGCUGGAGUACGGUAGGGGCAGAGGGAAUUUCCGGUGGAGCGGUGAAAUGCAUUGAGAUCGGAAAGAACACCAACGGCGAAAGCAGUGUCCUGGGGAGUACCUGACGCUCAGGUGCGAAAGCCAGGGGAGCGAACGGG